rnacentral:rRNA from 1 species
CGCAGCCGCGGUAAUUCCAGCUCCAAUAGCGUAUAUUAAAGUUGCUGCAGUUAAAAAGCUCGUAGUUGAAUUUCGGGAUCAAUCUGUUGGUCGUGCCUCGGUACGUACUAGCUUAUUGGUUUCUCCCUUCUGACGAACCAUGAUGUCAUUUAUUUGGUGUUAUGGGGAAUCAGGACUGUUACUUUGAAAAAAUUAGAGUGUUUAAAGCAGGCUCACGCUUGAAUACAUUAGCAUGGAAUAAUGAAAUAGGACGUUUGAUUCUAUUUUGUUGGUUUCUAGGAUCGACGUAAUGAUUAAUAGGGAUAGUUGGGGGCAUUAGUAUUCAAUUGUCAGAGGUGAAAUUCUUGGAUUUAUUGAAGACUAACUACUGCGAAAGCAUUUGCCAAGGAUGUUUUCAUUAAUCAAGAACGAAAGUUAGGGGAUCGAAGACGAUCAGAUACCG